rnacentral:rRNA from 1 species
CUUCGGGGUGACUGCGUACCUUUUGUAUAAUGGGUCAGCGACUUACAUUUUGUAGCGAGGUUAAACCGUAUAGGGGAGCCGUAGGGAAACCGAGUCUUAACUGGGCGUCUAGUUGCAAGGUGUAGACCCGAAACCGGGUGAUCUAGCCAUGGGCAGGUUGAAGGUUGAGUAACAUCAACUGGAGGACCGAACCCACUAACGUUGCAAAGUUAGGGGAUGACCUGUGGCUGGGGGUGAAAGGCCAAUCAAACUCGGAGAUAGCUGGUUCUCCCCGAAAGCUAUUUAGGUAGCGCCUCGGACGAAUACUACUGGGGGUAGAGCACUGUUUGGGCUAGGGGGUCAUCCCGACUUACCAACCCCAUGCAAACUCCGAAUACCAGUAAGUAAUAUCCGGGAGACACACGGCGGGUGCUAACGUCCGUCGUGAAGAGGGAAACAACCCAGACCGCCGGCUAAGGUCCAAAGUUCUGGUUAAGUGGGAAACGAUGUGGGAAGGCUCAGACAGCUAGGAUGUUGGCUUAGAAGCAGCCAUCAUUUAAAGAAAGCGUAAUAGCUCACUAGUCGAGUCGGCCUGCGCGGAAGAUGUAACGGGGCUCAAACCAGGCACCGAAGCCGCGGAUUCACACUUAUGUGUGAGUGGUAGGGGAGCGUUCUGUAAGUCUGCGAAGGUGUGUCGAGAGGCAUGCUGGAGAUAUCAGAAGUGCGAAUGCUGACGUAAGUAACGAUAAAGGGGGUGAAAAGCCUCCUCGCCGGAAGACCAAGGGUUCCUGUCCAACGUUAAUCGGGGCAGGGUGAGUCGACCCCUAAGGUGAGGCCGAAAGGCGUAAUCGAUGGGAAGCAGGUUAAUAUUCCUGCACGACUUGUAAUUGCGAUGGGGGGACGGAGAAGGCUAGGUGGGCCAGGCGACGGUUGUCCUGGUGAAAGUGCGUAGGUGGUGUUUCCAGGCAAAUCCGGAGACACAACACUGAGACACGAGACGAACGCACCACGGUGCGGAAGCCAUUGAUGCCCUGCUUCCAGGAAAAGCCUCUAAGCUUCAGAUUACAAGUCAUCGUACCCCAAACCGACACAGGUGGUCGGGUAGAGAAUACCAAGGCGCUUGAGAGAACUCGGGUGAAGGAACUAGGCAAAAUAGAACCGUAACUUCGGGAGAAGGUUCGCUCUUGAUGGUGAAGUCCCUUGCGGAUGGAGCUGUCGGGAGUCGCAGUGACCAGAUGGCUGGGACUGUUUAUCAAAAACACAGCACUCUGCAAACACGAAAGUGGACGUAUAGGGUGUGACACCUGCCCGGUGCCGGAAGGUUAAUUGAUGGGGUUAGCGCAAGCGAAGCUCUUGAUCGAAGCCCCGGUAAACGGCGGCCGUAACUAUAACGGUCCUAAGGUAGCGAAAUUCCUUGUCGGGUAAGUUCCGACCUGCACGAAUGGUGUAACCAUGGCCAUGCUGUCUCCACCCGAGACUCAGUGAAAUCGAAUUCGCCGUGAAGAUGCGGUGUACCCGCGGCUAGACGGAAAGACCCCGUGAACCUUUACUACAGCUUGGCACUGAACAUUGAACCUACAUGUGUAGGAUAGGUGGGAGGCUUUGAAGGCGUGACGCCAGUUGCGCUGGAGCCGUCCUUGAAAUACCACCCUUGUAUGUUUGAUGUUCUAACGCAGGGCCCUGAAUCGGGCUCGCGGACAGUGCCUGGUGGGUAGUUUGACUGGGGCGGUCUCCUCCCAAAGAGUAACGGAGGAGCACGAAGGUUGGCUAAUCCUGGUCGGACAUCAGGAGGUUAGUGCAAUGGCAUAAGCCAGCUUAACUGCGAGACGGACAGGUCGAGCAGGUACGAAAGUAGGUCAUAGUGAUCCGGUGGUUCUGAAUGGAAGGGCCAUCGCUCAACGGAUAAAAGGUACUCCGGGGAUAACAGGCUGAUACCGCCCAAGAGUUCAUAUCGACGGCGGUGUUUGGCACCUCGAUGUCGGCUCAUCACAUCCUGGGGCUGAAGUCGGUCCCAAGGGUAUGGCUGUUCGCCAUUUAAAGUGGUACGCGAGCUGGGUUCAGAACGUCGUGAGACAGUUCGGUCCCUAUCUGCCGUGGGCGUUGGAUGAUUGAAGGGAGUUGCUCCUAGUACGAGAGGACCGGAGUGAACGAACCUCUGGUGUUCGGGUUGUCACGCCAGUGGCACUGCCCGGUAGCUAAGUUCGGAAUCGAUAACCGCUGAAAGCAUCUAAGCGGGAAGCGAGCCCUGAGAUGAGUCAUCCCUGACCCCUUGAGGGUCCUAAAGGGCCGUUGGAGACCACAACGUUGAUAGGUGGGGUGUGUAAGCGUAGCGAUACGUUGAGCUAACCCAUACUAAUUACCCGUGAGGCUUAACCAUACAACACCCAAGAAGUGUUCUG